CCACAACCAAAACAUAUAUAAAUAUUUAAUCAUCCAAAUAACUUUAUCCAUCCAUAAUCAAAGUGUCAAUAUAUCUAAAUAACAUCAUAAUCUCUACAACUAGAAGCUGCAUAUGAGUUGGAUAAUCUCUACACUAAUAUCAUCUCCAAAUGUGGACAGAGCAAAGAGGGCAAUAGCUACAUUGAACGUCCGAGUUCCAACUUUAUCUAUGUGCUUCAUCUCAUAGUCACCUACCUGCAAAUAAUGAAGCAAAUAUAUAUCUAAACAUCACAAUACACAAUGGGAUAAUAAGACAUUCUAUCUUCACAUUCCCAUAUUUUUGGACCAUAACACAUUUCUGAUACUGAUAGACGCGUCUCACCAUUCUGCCAGUCGACGUGCUCAAUAGAGAAAGUGAAGCAUAAUACCUCAAAAACAGAUACAGAAUCGAGUCUAUUGAAGUACUGAGGGGUAAAAGGUGGAAAAUUGGAAGCUUAACUGGACUC
rnacentral:lncRNA from 1 species